UACGAAGGGGGCUAGCGUUGCUCGGAAUCACUGGGCGUACAGCGCACGUAGGCGGCUUGUUAAGUCGGGGGGGAAAUCCUGGAGCUCAACUCCAGAACUGCCCUCGAUACUGAUGAGCUCGAGUCCGGGAGAGGUGAGUGGAACUGCGAGUGUAGAGGUGAAAUUCGUAGAUAUUCGCAAGAACACCAGUGGCGAAGGCGGCUCACUGGCCCGGUACUGACGCUGAGGUGCGAAAGCGUGGGGAGCAAACAGG
rnacentral:rRNA from 1 species